rnacentral:lncRNA from 1 species
CUCCUGGGCCCUGGUUCUGCCCGGUGAUGCCUGUGCUUGGUGAUGUGAGGGAUCCACGCGGAGUCCACUCUCCCACGAGGGGAAAACCAUGCAACCAAAGCUCGCAGCACCGCAGGGCCCGUGCUCACAAGUGGAUCUUCCCUGGGCCCCCAGGGUGUCACCGGCCACCUCCUGGACCUGACUCGAACUCUCCCAGAAGCGCAGUUGUGCGGUGCUGGCCUUUGCGGGACCGUGACCGGCUGGACCAGGGCUUCACCACUGGACAUGCACAGCCCACACCCCCGUGGGUCCGCGUGGCCGUCGUGGGCGCAGUGUGUGCGUCCUGUGUGUCUGUUGGCCCAUGCUGUUGCUCCUCCUGCACGGCUCUCCCACCCCAACUCUAAGGGACCACGGGAACAUCUGAAUCUGCCCAGCUCCCACCGUGGCUUCCAGCUGGAAGAAAGGUGAAAGCAGUGAAGAUGGGGUGCCACUUGGCCAGGGGCGCUGGGUAAGCAGGGCUGGAGGAAGGGCUGGGCGGCCCUGGGGCAGGGACAGAGUGGCUCUGCCUUCCCUGCCCACCAGGCCGUCCUGCCUC